GCACUGCCGAGGAGUCCCACAAUAGGACGAAAUGGCCGUCCAGUGC
rfam:Schistosoma curassoni strain Dakar, Senegal genome assembly, scaffold: SCTD_contig0015765